UAGUGGCGUUGAGUGAUUCAAACGACAAUUUGCACAUUUGGAGGAGCAUUAUGGUAAAGGUGAAAGAAGUACUCCACUUCUAAGACAUCAUGCUUCUUUGCCUAGAGAGCGAGUUCCUGCUCCCAAGGAUGAGAAUGAUCAAGUUGAUGGUGAGAAUAACACUACUUCAAUGACACAAUAUGGUUCA